GCGUCGGUGGUUCAGUGGUAGAAUACUCGCCUGCCACGCGGGUGACCCGGGUUCGAUUUCCGGCUGACGCA
rnacentral:tRNA from 1 species